rnacentral:rRNA from 1 species
AAACUUCUAAUGCUAUGAGGAAAAUCAUGGAGUGAGACUGCGGGGGCAAGCUUCGUAGUCGAAAGGAUAACAGUCCAGAUUUCUAACUAAGGUCCCUAAGUCGUGACUAAGUGGAAAAAGAGGUGUUUUUGCUAUGACAUUUAGGAGGUUUGCUUAGAAGCAGCAAUCCUUUAAAGAAAGCGUAACAGCUCACUAAACGAGCGAAGAUGCGCUGAAGAUGUAACGGGGCUAAGUCACGCACCGAAGUUGAAAGUCUAUAAUUUUUUUAUAGGCGGUAGAGGAGUGUUCUUUAUUGGGUGAAGGUUUGGUGUAAACUUAAAUUGGACGAUAAAGAAGUAAAAAUGCUAGCAUGAGUAACGACUGUUGAUGAAAAUUCAACAUACCUAAAGCAUAAGGUUUCCUACGCAACGUUCAUCGUCGUAGGGUUAGUCGGGACCUAAGGCUAUUACCGAAAGGUUAUGUCGAUGGAAAGCUGGUUUAUAUUCCAGCACCUAUAUAUUCAAUGAUGUGGUGACGCAUUGGGAUUUGUAAGGGCUUACUAAGGAUGUGAGUUGAGAUUACUAUACGAUUUUGGUUCGCCAAAAGGUUUUGUAUAGGAAAAUCCGUACAAAAUAUAAGUGGAGUUUGAUCUGAAUAAUAUUUUAGGAUAUUAAAUCUUAUAGUUUUGAUGCCGAGAAAAACCACUAAGUGUUAAUGUUUAUAUAGCCCGUACCGAGAUCAGACACAUGUAUGCAGGUGGAGAACACCAAGGUACUCGAGAUAACUAAUGAAUAAGGAACUUGGCAAAUUAGCGGACGUAACUACGGGAUAAGUCCUCCCUUAUAGCAAUAUAAGGGUGCAACUAAAGAAGUGGGGGGAACUGUUUAUCAAAAACACAGCUCUCUGCUAACAUGUAAAUGGAUGUAUAGAGGGUGUUGCCUGUCCAAUGCCAGAAUGUUACGCUCUCUUGUGCAAGCUCGAGAGUUAAGCACUGGUCAAUGACGGCCGUAACUAUGACGGUCCUAAGGUAGCGAAAUUCCUUGUCGGGUAAGUUCCGACCCGCACGAAUGGUACAAUCAUCCCCACACUGUCUUAUUCUUAGACUCGGUGAAAUUACAAUUCCGGUAAAAAUGCCGGAUGGUCGCAGUUAGACGGAAAGACCCCGUGAAGCUUUACUAUAGAUUGAUAUUGUGAUGUAGCAUAUAUUGUUCAGGAUAUGUGGGAGACUUUGAUAUUUCAACGCUAGUUGGGAUGGAGUCAUCCUUGAGAUACCACACUAUUUAUGUCGCAUUACUAACCCCACGAUGUGGGGAACAGUGUCAGUUGGGUAGUUUACCUGGGGCGGGUGCCUCCUAAAAAGUAACGGAGGCGCGCAAAGGUUUGCUUGUUACGGAUGGAAACCGUGAUGAAUGUGUAUUUGCAUAAGCAAGCUUAACUGUGAGACAUACAAGUCAAGCAGAUACGAAAGUAGGCAAAAGUGAUCCGGAUCUUCCGUGUGGAAGGGGAUCCGCUCAACGGAUAAAAGUUACUCCGGGGAUAACAGGCUAAUGGGAUCUAAGCGUUCAUAGCGACGAUCCCGUUUGGCACCUCGAUGUCGGCUCGUCGCAUCCUGGGGCUGUAGAAGGUCCCAAGGGUUGGGCUGUUCGCCCAUUAAAGCGGGACGCGAGCUGGGUUCAGAACGUCGUGAGACAGUUUGGCCCCUAUCUACUGUGACCGUAGACAAUUUGAGAGAUGCUGUCCCUAGUACGAGAGGACCGGGAUGGACUAGCCUCUGGUGAAGCAGUUGUUGGACCUCCAGCAGACCGCUGCGUAGCUACGCUGGGUACAGAUAACCACUGAAAGCAUAUAAGUGGGAAGCUUGUCUCAAGAUUAGAUUGUCCUUCCUAUAUGGAUUAAGACCACCUAGAGACUAUAGGUUAUAUAGGUAUCAUGUGUAAGCUU